CACCAGGUUGAUUCUGCCUGACGUGGACGCUAGUCUCACAGAUUUAGCCAUGCAUGUGUAAGCGAAGCUUAUAGUGGAGCGGUAUACGGCUCAGUAACGGGCGAUUUAUUUGUUCUCCUGGGACGGACAACAUCGGGAAACUGAUGGGAAAACGUCUAAGUUGCAGUUAAAUGACUGUGACGUAAACCUUUGUGUGCAGGAGAGUAAGAUGCCAUCCUAUCAGUUAGUAAGUAGGGUAAGGGCCUACUUAGACGAAGACGGGUACGGGGAAUGAGGGUUUGAUUCCGGAGAGGGAGCCUGAGAGAUGGCUACCAGGACCAAGGUCAGCAGCAGGCGCGAAAAUUAUCGAAGCCCGCCUAGGGGCGAUAGUGAGGAGACGUGUAUAACGAAGUACGUGUAAAGAACGUGCUAAUAACUGGAGGUCAAGUCUGGUGCCAGCAUCCGCGGUAAUUCCAGCUCCAGGGGUGUCUAUGAUGAUUGCUGCGAUUAAAAAGUCCGUAGUCAAUCUGACUGACUGACCUGCAAUGUGAUUGAUUAAAGAACGAGCAGGGUUAGGAAAGCAGAGAAUUAGGAGCGACCGAGGGCUAGAGUAUUGAAUGGCGAGAGGUGAAAUUUGAUGACCCAUUCAGGAGUGACAAAGGCGAAGGCACUAGUCAAGGGCGAAUCCGAUGAUCAAGGACGUAGGCUAGAGUUUCGAAAACGAUUAGAGACCGGAGUAGUUCUAGCAGUAAACUAUGCCGACGCCGUGGUAUCAAUAAUGGUAUUGCGGAAGAGAAAUCAAGUAAGGCUUUGGGGAGAGUACGCGCGCAAGCGAUAAAUUUAAAGGAAAUU
rnacentral:rRNA from 1 species